CAGACCUCUGGCUUCUAUCUAAAUUACACUUUCUCAUCUUGUUUCGUAUUCCUUUGUGGUAAAAGUUUUGAACUUGGAUAAUUUCCCCCUGCAUAUUAAACUCCUUCAUAUCACCUGUUUAUUGUAUUCCUUUGCAUCAGAAAAAAGCUCAUGACAAGUCAUGGUUGUAUCAUGCCCACAAAUCAACAUUUUAUUCCAUCAAAGCAAUUGGGACGUAAGGUCUCCCCUCCGGUAGGGGGCAGUAGUAGGAGGAAUGUUUAGACCGGAAUAAGAAAAGGGGAUUGUGGGUAUUCUUUCUAAUAUAGGACGUUGCAAGCUGAACGUCGUUAAUCGUUGCAGGAGAAACCUACCCGGACGGUCUCAAAGCGGCGGAGCGCAGAUUACAAAAUACACUUUUGAUAAUAUUUACCACUAACGCACGACAUAAAACUUGAUAUAUAUUUUUUUGUAUCAAGACGCUUUUUGUAGCGGGGUUUAGCGUUUAUGAAGGUGUCUGGUAUUACGCUGGAGUUUGUUCCUACGCAGUCGGUCGACGCGGCCCGCACACUUUCUGAACACUUCAGCGGUUCCCGUGAAAUGUGUGUUGAGACCAUGGACUCCAACUCCACACACUGUUCGACCAAACACAAAUUCGUGUCGAAGAUGAAGUGGAAAAUGCUUCGAACGAGGACGACGGAGGACACUUUCAAGAUGUUACACAAGACCGUGAAGACCGGUCACAGAUGCGUCCAUAAGGGAAAGCCGUCGACGCCCAGACCCGGUAAGGGACUCCGGCCAGUGGGGGAGGAAGAAGGGGGACACAGGAGGGCCAUGGCGCCGGAGAACACCACCCAGUACCUCAUGGCCCGCGUCUACGCAGACAUGUCGUCGCCUCUCGGUGACUCAUUCUCACCGCGCUCUGUUUACGACACCGCCGUAGACGUUUACGGGGAGUCGUUGUCGCCGACGAGCGUUUCCACGGCGUUGGACUCCAUUUACGACGACUAUCUCGCUUUCCAACAGCGGGACUUUGAGGAAGUUUUCGGCCUGUGAGCCGUCAUGCUAAUCAGGAACCGGACUAGCCGACGUGGUCUAACCGACGAGGCCUCGCGAGACUUGGAUGUUGCCUGUGGGCUCACUGAUGACACGUCUGUGGCAAAAGAGCUGAACCCGACACCGCCCGCAGUGUCGGGCGCACUCCCGAACAGCGCCAGCUGCCCACCGACGUCUGCCUCAAACCCGCCUCUCUCCUGGUCACCGCUUGCGUAAUGAAGGUAAACGCUACGGUAACGGAGAGCAGAUGGCAGGUACUACAAUGUCGAUACAUGUGUCCCAUUGCUAAGGUACCCAUUGUUGAGUAGACCGAUGGCAGUGUCCCAUCGCCUCGGUGGAGUGAGUGCACAUGAACAUGUAAACGUUGUCUGAGCCUUUUCCAGGUCACAGUGCCACGGACUCUGGGUUCGGCUGUGAACUGGAGCAGAAAGCGGAGAGUCUCCCUCAAAGAGAUGGACCAAGGUGACUCUUUGUAACGGGUUGUUAUGUUAUGAAGACUGGUUAACGUCCGUGUGUAAAUAAUGUACAGAAAGAUUUUUGCGUGUUGUGUUUUAGACAUUAAAAUAUUAUUUGGGAAAUAGUGUGAAUGUGUCAUGACUUUCUUAUGUCUCCAUUAAGUGACGAUACAAAGUGAUUUAUAAAAUAAAAUAUCGACUCUUGUUGUAAAAUAACGCUGUUCUUCAAAAAAAAAACGACUUCCGGGAAGGACCCUGGCAAGAUGGCGUCCUCCACCCACUGUAACGGCCUCCUGUCGUCACCAGCUGCUGCCCCAUGAACCACGAAUAGCCUUCAACGUCGCAACAAAUCCUUAAAGUGGUUAGCAGCUGCAGUGGGCGAUCUUCUGUUCCCUGCGUUCGCUUUCCUCCGACCGGGCCAAACAUCCAGAUCAGGUCAGAGUCGGACCACGCCGUUACCUCCUCAACCAAGCGGAGAACAUCCAGAUCAGGUCAGUCAGACCACGCCUACCAAGGGUUAGGGUUAGGGUUAGGGUCAGACCACGCCGUUACCUCCUCAACCAAGCGGAGAACAUCCAGAUCAGGUCAGAGUCAGACCACGCCAUUACCUCCUCAACCAAUCGGAGAACAGCCUUUUCUUUUUACACGCUCCGGCUACCAUUUUGAAACUAGAACAAACAAGUUAUUUCUCUCGCACCAUCCACCCCUCUCUACCCCACCAGCCCCCUUCCAUCUUUCCCUCAUUCGUCUAUCAACGUAAUUGCGCUCCUUCCAAGAAUAGAAGCAAAGUGCCAAGGUCUGUCAAGGCGCCCGUGGUUAAAGUGUCCUUCAGUCCAGGAGACACUUCCUUAUUCUGCACUGGCUUGGUGAGUUUGGCUCCUCUUGAGUCUUCGCUUGUAUUGCUUUUAUCUAUAUGUUUAAGCCUAUUAAGUAAUUUUUCCUUACCAGAAGUAGGCUAUUUCGUGUUUUGCACUUUACACCCUGACUGCUGUGUCUCUGUAUCUGUUUUACAUCAUCCGUCUGUUGCCUUCUUAACAAUCGUCUUACCAAUGUAGUUCGUAUUCUGCCC
ensembl:lncRNA